GACGAACCGUGCGAACGUUGUUCGGAUUCACUGGGCUUAAAGGGCGCGUAGGCGGACGGUCAAGUCGGGGGUGAAAUCUUUCAGCUUAACUGGAAAAGUGCCUCCGAUACUGAUCGUCUCGAGGGAGGUAGGGGCAUGUGGAACUUCCGGUGGAGCGGUGAAAUGCGUAGAUAUCAGGAGGAACACCGGUGGUGUAGACGGCUCUCUGGACCGUAACUGACGCUGAGGCACGAAAGCGUGGGUAGCAAACAGG
rnacentral:rRNA from 1 species